GACGAACGCUGGCGGCGUGCUUAACACAUGCAAGUCGAACGGAAAGGCCUGCUUUCCCUUGUGGAUUGCGGGUACUCGAGUGGCGAACGGGUGAGUAACACGUGAGUGAUCUGCCCCCAACUUGGGUAUAAGCCUGGGAAACUGGGUCUAAUUCCCGAUAGGACUGCAGGGUGGUGCCUGUGGUGGAAAACGAUUUUCUAGUGGUUGGGGAUGAGCUCGCGGCCUAUCAGCUUGUUGGUGGGGUAAUGGCCUACCAAGGCGGCGACGGGUAGCCGGCCUGAGAGGGUGGACGGGCACAUUGGGACUGAGAUACGGCCCAGACUCCUACGGGAGGCAGCAGUGGGGAAUAUUGCACAAUGGGCGGAAGCCUGAUGCAGCGACGCCGCGUGGGGGAUGACGGCCUUCGGGUUGUAAACUCCUUUCGACCGCGAGGAAGCCACCUGGUUGGAAGGGUGUGACGGUAGUGGUAGAAGAAGCACCGGCUAACUACGUG
rnacentral:rRNA from 1 species